rnacentral:rRNA from 1 species
GGGGAAUUUUCCGCAAUGGGCGCAAGCCUGACGGAGCAAUACCGCGUGAGGGAGGACGCUUUUUGGAGUGUAAACCUCUUUUAUUAGGGAAGAAUCGAUGACGGUACCUAAUGAAUCAGCAUCGGCUAACUCCGUGCCAGCAGCCGCGGUAAUACGGAGGAUGCAAGCGUUAUCCGGAAUUAUUGGGCGUAAAGCGUCCGUAGGUGGCUUAGUAAGUCUUUUGUCAAAUCGUGCAGCUCAACUGCAUACAGGCAGAGGAAACUACUGAGCUAGAGUGCGAUAGGGGUGACAGGAAUUCCCAGUGUAGCGGUGAAAUGCGUAGAUAUUGGGAAGAACACCAGCGGCGAAAGCGUGUCACUGGGUCUGCACUGACACUGAGGGACGAAAGCUAGGGGAGCGAAAGGGAUUAGAUACCCCUGUAGUCCUAGCCGUAAACGAUGACAACUGGGUGUGGUUCGUAUCGACCCGAGCCGUGCCGUAGCCAACGCGUUAAGUUGUCCGCCUGGGGAGUACGCACGCAAGUGUGAAACUCAAAGGAAUUGACGGGGGCCCGCACAAGCGGUGGAGUAUGUGGUUUAAUUCGAUGCAACGCGAAGAACCUUACCAAGGCUUGACAUCCUCGGAAUCUUCUUGAAAGGGAAGAGUGCCUUCGGGAGCCGAGAGACAGGUGGUGCAUGGCUGUCGUCAGCUCGUGUCGUGAGAUGUUGGGUUAAGUCCCGCAACGAGCGCAACCCACGUUUUUAGUUGCCAGCAUUCAGUUGGGCACUCUAGAGAGACUGCCGGUGACAAACCGGAGGAAGGUGUGGAUGACGUCAAGUCAGCAUGCCCCUUACGCCUUGGGCUACACACGUACUACAAUGCUACGGACAAAGAGCAGCCAGCCAGCGAUGGUGAGCCAAUCUCAUAAACCGUAGCUCAGUUCAGAUUGCAGGCUGCAACUCGCCUGCAUGAAGGCGGAAUCGCUAGUAAUCGCAGGUCAGCAUACUGCGGUGAAUACGUUCCCGGGCCUUGUACACACCGCCCGUCACACCAUGGGAGUUGGUCACGCCCGAAGUCGUUACUCUAACUGCUUGCAGAGGAGGACGCCGAAGGUGGGGCUGAUGACUGGGGUGAAGUCGUAACAAGGUAAC